rnacentral:rRNA from 1 species
GAUGAACGCUGGCGGCGUGCCUAAUACAUGCAAGUCGAGCGAAUGGAUUAAGAGCUUGCUCUUAUGAAGUUAGCGGCGGACGGGUGAGUAACACGUGGGUAACCUGCCCAUCAGACUGGGAUAACGCCGGGAAACCGGGGCUAAUACCGGAUAACAUUUUGAACCGCAUAGUUCGAAAUUGAAAGGCGGCUUCGGCUGUCACUUAUGUAUGGACCCGGGUCGCAUUAGCUAGUUGGUGAGGUAACGGCUCACCAAGGCAACGAUGCGUAGCCGACCUGGGAGGGUGAUCGGCCACACUGGGACUGAGACACGGCCCAGACUCCUACGGGAGGCAGCAGUAGGGAAUCUUCCGCAAUGGACGAAAGUCUGACGGAGCAACGCCGCGUGAGUGAUGAAGGCUUGCGGGUCGUAAAACUCUGUUGUUAGGGAAGAACAAGUGCUAGUUGAAUAAGCUGGCACCUUGACGGUACCUAACCAGAAAGCCACGGCUAACUACGUGCCAGCAGCCGCGGUAA